AUUGAACGCUGGCGGCAGGCUUAACACAUGCAAGUCGAGCGGAGAUGAGGUGCUUGCACCUUAUCUUAGCGGCGGACGGGUGAGUAAUGCUUAGGAAUCUGCCUAUUAGUGGGGGACAACAUUCCGAAAGGAAUGCUAAUACCACAUACGCCCUACGGGGGAAAGCAGGGGAUCUUCGGACCUUGCGCUAAUAGAUGAGCCUAAGUCGGAUUAGCUAGUUGGUGGGGUAAGGCCUACCAAGGCGACGAUCUGUAGCGGGUGUGAGAGAAUGAUCCGCCGCGCUGGGACUGAGACACGGCCCAGACUCCUACGGGAGGGAGCAGUGGGGAAGAUUGGACAAUGGGCGGAAGCCUGAUCCAGCCAUGCCGCGUGUGUGAAGAAGGCCUUUUGGUUGUAAAGCACUUUAAGCGAGGAGGAGGCUACCUGGAUUAAUACUCUAGGAUAGUGGACGUUACUCGCAGAAUAAGCACCGGCUAACUCUGUGCUAGCAGCCGCCGCCGUAA
rnacentral:rRNA from 1 species